GGGUCGUUAGCUCAGUUGGUAGUGCAGUUGACUUUUAAUCAAUUGGUCGCAGGUUCGAAUCCUGCACGACCCACCA
rnacentral:tRNA from 1 species